UACGUAGGGUGCGAGCGUUGUCCGGAAUUACUGGGCGUAAAGAGCUCGUAGGUGGUUUGUCGCGUUGUUCGUGAAAACCGGGGGCUUAACCCUCGGCGUGCGGGCGAUACGGGCAGACUUGAGCACUGCAGGGGAGACUGGAAUUCCUGGUGUAGCGGUGGAAUGCGCAGAUAUCAGGAGGAACACCGGUGGCGAAGGCGGGUCUCUGGGCAGUAACUGACGCUGAGGAGCGAAAGCCAGGGGAGCAAACGGG
rnacentral:rRNA from 1 species